CCGGGUAAUGAUCCAUUUUCCAAUACAUAUAACCCGGGAUGGCGGAAUCAUCCAAACUUUUCUUGGAAGCAGCAAGCUUCGAAUAUUGCCCAACCCUACUCCCACAAUUUUCAAAACCCUCAGAAUUUUCAAACCCCACAAAAUAUUCAUCCCUACCGUCCCUCGACUCAAUUUCAACACAAUCCUCCUCCACAUCAAAGAAACACAGCCUUUGAGGAGAAAGUGUUGACCUCCCUUCAAGGUUUGAAAACUAUUACACAAUUGGUGCACUCUCACACA
rnacentral:lncRNA from 1 species